GCGGACGUGGCGAAAUUGGCAGACGCGCAGGAUUUAGGAUCCUGUGCCGCAAGGUAUGCAGGUUCAAGCCCUGUCGUCCGCA
rnacentral:tRNA from 1 species